AAUUAAUGAUUACUUGGAAGCACUAGAUGACAUAACACCAAUCAUUCGAGGCCCCUAGCCUUCUUGAUGCCCAAACCUUAGUACCAUUGGUUGGAUGAGGCUACCCUUUUAUGAUGACAAUUUUGGAAUGGGCAAACCCAUACUGGCCAGGCGUUCAAAUCUACUUGAAGGCAAGGGAGUCAUACUACCAACUCCAAGUGGUGACAAGAGUUGGACAUUGAUCAUGUCCUUAGAGAAAUAUCACAUGCAACCUUCCAAAAGUUCUAGUUUGAGUUCCAAAAUUUCAAGCUUUGGUUAUAUUAGGCUUCAAUCCUUAUUUACAUGGUUUAUGUGUGU
rnacentral:misc_RNA from 1 species